rnacentral:rRNA from 1 species
CACGUAGGGUGCGAGCGUUGUCCGGAUUUAUUGGGCGUAAAGAGCUCGUAGGCGGUUUGUCGCGUCGGCCGUGAAAUCUCCACGCUUAACGUGGAGCGUGCGGUCGAUACGGGCAGACUUGAGUUCGGUAGGGGAGACUGGAAUUCCUGGUGUAGCGGUGAAAUGCGCAGAUAUCAGGAGGAACACCGGUGGCGAAGGCGGGUCUCUGGGCCGAUACUGACGCUGAGGAGCGAAAGCGUGGGGAGCGAACAGG